rnacentral:rRNA from 1 species
ACCCUUCCGGGGAGCUUGUACAGUGGCUGCAUGGCUGUCGUCAGCUCGUGUCGUGAGAUGUUCGGUUAAGUCCGCUAACGAGCGCAACCCUCGCUGUGUGUUUACAAGUGUCACACGGAACUGCCGGUCAUAAACCGGAGGAAGGUGGGGAUGACGUCAAGUCAGCAUGGCCUUUAUAUCCUGGGCUACACACACGCUACAAUGGGAAGGGACAAUAGGUUGCGAAGCCGCGAGGUGGAGCCAAUCCAGCAAAACUUCCCUCAGUUCAGAUUGCAGGCUGCAACUCGCCUGCAUGAAGUUGGAGUUGCUAGUAAACGCAGGUCAGCCAUACUGCGUUGAAUACGUUCCCGGGGCUU